rnacentral:misc_RNA from 1 species
GGGGAAUCUUGAGUUGCUCUUGAUUGAAACAGCUUGAACAAUUAUUGCAUCACAAGUACCAACCAUUAUUAUUAUUUGGCAGGACUUGAAUAAUGCAGAGUGGAAAUGAAACCCAAGAUUAUUAAACACUCAGCCUAUGCAGUAAUUCUUCAAAUUUGCAUUGGAAUAGGCUUUUGUUACAGACAUGGUCCCACUUCAUUUUUCUGGGAAGAAGCAGUGAGAACAAAGAUCAGAAAACUACAUGGAAAUUGACAGAACCCUUGAGGGGCUUCAUAUGAACAUGGACAAAAACUAAAACUAGUGUUGAUUCUCUCUCUUGUUUUUGAAAUGUUCAUUAAUGGUGGUGGUACCAAUCAACAUGUAUUUGAUCUAAUAACUGGUUUGGAAGGGCUUGACUGUCUUCAGAUCACCAACAACCCCAGCAACGGAGCCAGUAGCAGCAGCUAUGGUAAUUAUAAGGCAAGUAGCAUUUAGGAUUUGGAGGCAGAGCCAUCUUGUACUCCACUUUGGUAUCUUCUUUUGUGCUAUGUACAUCUCAACUGGGAAGUAUACAGUUAAUGGCCAAAAUCCUAAAGCUCCGAGAAGACCAACUAUGUCGUUAAAGAAAGGAAGGAGCAUGGAAAUUAAAGUGGUCAAGAUCACAAAAAUAGUCCUAAAUACCAAUCUAAAGAGGUUGAGGUUGUAGGAGCGGGAACCAGGAAUUGGGAUUUUGAUUUCUUUGGUAAUGAAUUCACUGUCUGGGAAUCUUUGUGCUGCUGUUUUUUCAAUGAAGGCAAAGAGGGGUUGGCAGAAGACUUGGUAUGCACCAACAAGGUGGAUUACUAUGGCAACAUUGGCAAUGUCUAGUAACCAAUAUGGGUUGUAAAAGCCAAAGCCUGUGAGGAGAUUUCCAGGGGACAUGUCUCCAAAGGCAGCGUAGCCAAAGCAGCCACAGAGCAUGUAGAAAAGGGUUGUCACUGAAACACUUAUUAAAGAUGCUUUCUUCAUUGUCUUGGCUUCUGAUGGUGGGGAUUUGAUUGUGUCCUGAAUUUCAAUGAGGAUGACGGAGUAUGAGUACGCAAAAGCAAUUUCCCCAAGUGCUUGGAAGCUUCUCCAUAUCUUCUGGGUUUGAGUUACGGUGCCAAUGCUUAUUCCAGUUAGGCUUCCCAUGAAUUUUCCAUUCUCUGCAACUUUGGCAAUGCCAAGUCCAAGACCAAUAGAUGAAUAAGUGAAAGACAUAACAGCGGCAACAAUGGAGAGCCACCAUAGCUGAUCAAAAUCAGGAAUUUGCGAGAAAAUAAUUUCUGUGAUCCCAAAAGCAAUCAUGUAAGGAUUGGCAUUCAUACGGCAUGGAUUUUUGCCUCCACUCUUGUGGAAACAAUUAGACCUCUUAAUAGCCAUCAUGCUUAUGGAUGAUGCUAUUGUGUAACCAAUGGCAACUCCAAAGAGGUUAAGAUACUGAACAAAUCCACAUAUCUUGACCUUAGCUCCACCAAGAUUGGAGAGAACAGCAUCCAUAUAUGUGUAGUUUCUCUUGCCAGUAAGAGGAUCACCAGAACGGUAACAGGAAGAAAGCAGAGUAGAAGUAUAGUAAGUGACCAAGGAGAACAAGAACAUAACAGCAGGACCAGCAAUCCAUCCAAGCUGAGCUAUGGCAUAGGCCAAGGACAGAACCCCAGACCCAAUCACAGCUGUUAUAAUAUGGGAACUUGCAGUCCACACAGUACCAGUUCGCUUAAGGCGACCAUCAUCGUCUAGCAAAUUGUGGCCAGUUUGUGCAUGGAUGUCAAUGGAGACAUUGAAAACUUGGUGGGAAUGGCUCUUUGCUGCUGUGUUCUCAACCAUCUUUCUUCACAGAACAAACCAAGAAACAGAGAAGUGAGUUAUCUUUUGGUGCUUGGAAGAAAAGAGAGAAAGAAAAAUGGAAAAUGUGGCGUUUAGCUACUGAGAGUAAACUGAAUCGAGGGAUAUAUGAUGCAAUGGAAGCCAAGAAGAGCAGGCAUUUAUAGAUCACUUGAGGUGGCAAGACUUUCGCAAGACUAAAGAGGGCCAAUGAUAGUUGAAGGGCACGUGCCCUCAAGACCCUCACGACUUAACGCGGAUUCUGCGUGUGUGACCUCUUUU